rnacentral:rRNA from 1 species
UGGGGAAUAUUGCACAAUGGGCGCAAGCCUGAUGCAGCCAUGCCGCGUGUAUGAAGAAGGCCUUCGGGUUGUAAAGUACUUUCAGCGAGGAGGAAGGCGUUGUGGUUAAUAACCGCAGCGAUUGACGUUACUCGCAGAAGAAGCACCGGCUAACUCCGUGCCAGCAGCCGCGGUAAUACGGAGGGUGCAAGCGUUAAUCGGAAUUACUGGGUGUAAAGCGCACGCAGGCGGUCUGUCAAGUCGGAUGUGAAAUCCCCGGGCUCAACCUGGGAACUGCAUCCGAAACUGGCAGGCUAGAGUCUUGUAGAGGGGGGUAGAAUUCCAGGUGUAGCGGUGAAAUGCGUAGAGAUCUGGAGGAAUACCGGUGGCGAAGGCGUCCCCCUGGACAAAGACUGACGCUCAGGUGCGAAAGCGUGGGGAGCAAACA